rnacentral:tRNA from 1 species
GCCUCUGUAGCUCAGUUGGUAGAGCAGUGGACUGAAAAUCCACGUGUCGCUGGUUCGACUCCGGCCGGAGGCA